ACGCUGGCGGCAGGCCUAACACAUGCAAGUCGAGCGGUAGAGAGAAGCUUGCUUCUCUUGAGAGCGGCGGACGGGUGAGUAAUGCCUGGGAAUCUGCCUGGUAGUGGGGGAUAACGUUCGGAAACGGACGCUAAUACCGCAUACGUCCUACGGGAAAAAGCAGGGGACCUUCGGGCCUUGCGCUAUCAGAUGAGCCUAGGUCGGAUUAGCUAGUUGGUGAGGUAAUGGCUCACCAAGGCGACGAUCCGUAACUGGUCUGAGAGGAUGAUCAGUCACACUGGAACUGAGACACGGUCCAGACUCCUACGGGAGGCAGCAGUGGGGAAUAUUGGACAAUGGGCGAAAGCCUGAUCCAGCCAUGCCGCGUGUGUGAAGAAGGUCUUCGGAUUGUAAAGCACUUUAAGUUGGGAGGAAGGGUUGUAGAUUAAUACUCUGCAAUUUUGACGUUACCGACAGAAUAAGCACCGGCUAACUCUGUGCCAGCAGCCGCGGUAAUACAGAGGGUGCAAGCGUUAAUCGGAAUUACUGGGCGUAAGGCGCGCGUAGGUGGUUUGUUAAGUUGGAUGUGAAAUCCCCGGGCUCAACCUGGGAACUGCAUUCAAAACUGACUGACUAGAGUAUGGUAGAGGGUGGUGGAAUUUCCUGUGUAGCGGUGGAAUGCGUAGAUAUAGGAAGGAACACCAGUGGCGAAGGCGACCACCUGGACUAAUACUGACACUGAGGUGCGAAAGCGUGGGAGCAAAC
rnacentral:rRNA from 1 species